rnacentral:rRNA from 1 species
UGUACCUACGGGGGGCAGCAGUGGGGAAUAUUGGGCAAUGGGCGCAAGCCUGACCCAGCAACGCCGCGUGAAGGAAGAAGGCUUUCGGGUUGUAAACUUCUUUUCUCAGGGACGAAGCAAGUGACGGUACCUGAGGAAUAAGCCACGGCUAACUACGUGCCAGCAGCCGCGGUAAUACGUAGGUGGCAAGCAUUAUCCGGAUUUACUGGGUGUAAAGGGCGUGUAGGCGGGGACGCAAGUCAGAUGUGAAAAGCAAGGGCUCAAACUGGGGCCUGCAUUUGAAACUGUGUUUCU